rnacentral:rRNA from 1 species
CCUACGGGAGGCAGCAGUGGGGAAUCUUGCGCAAUGGGGGCAACCCUGACGCAGCCAUGCCGCGUGAAUGAUGAAGGCCUUAGGGUUGUAAAGUUCUUUUGCCCGUGACGAUGAUGACGGUAACGGGAGAAUAAGCUCCGGCUAACUUCGUGCCAGCAGCCGCGGUAAUACGAAGGGGGCUAGCGUUGUUCGGAAUUACUGGGCGUAAAGCGCGCGCAGGCGGUUCGAUAAGUUAGGGGUGAAAUCCCUGGGCUCAACCCAGGAAUGGCCUUUAAGACUGUCGAGCUAGAGGACGAGAGAGGUGAGUGGAAUUCCCAGUGUAGAGGUGAAAUUCGUAGAUAUUGGGAAGAACACCGGUGGCGAAGGCGGCUCACUGGCUCGUUUCUGACGCUGAGGCGCGAAAGCGUGGGGAGCAAACAGGAUUAGAUACCCUGGUAGUCCACGCCCUAAACGAUGAGUGCCAGGUGUCGGGAAGCUUAGCUUCUCGGCGCCGCAGCUAACGCCUUAAGCACUCCGCCUGGGAGUACGGCCGCAGGUAAAACUACAAAUGAAUUGACGG